CAGGGUUCAAGUCCCUGUUCGGGCGGCUCUUU
rnacentral:sRNA from 1 species